GCGUCGUGUCAACGUUGCAAAGUCGCAAUU
rnacentral:sRNA from 1 species